AUUGAACGCUGGCGGCAUGCCUUACACAUGCAAGUCGAACGGUAACAGGUCUUCGGAUGCUGACGAGUGGCGAACGGGUGAGUAAUACAUCGGAACGUGCCCGAGAGUGGGGGAUAACGAGGCGAAAGCUUUGCUAAUACCGCAUACGAUCUCAGGAUGAAAGCAGGGGACCGCAAGGCCUUGCGCUCACGGAGCGGCCGAUGGCAGAUUAGGUAGUUGGUGGGAUAAAAGCUUACCAAGCCGACGAUCUGUAGCGGGUCUGAGAGGACGACCAGCCACACUGGGACUGAGAAACGGCCCAGACGCCUACGGGAGUCAGCAGUGGGGAAUUUUGGACAAUGGGCGCAAGCCUGAUCCAGCCAUGCCGCGUGCAGGAUGAAGGCCUUCGGGUUGUAAACUGCUUUUGUACGGAACGAAAAGACUCCUUCUAAUAAAGGGGGUCCAUGACGGUACCGUAAGAAUAAGCACCGGCUAACUACGUGCCAGCCGCCGCGGUAACAC
rnacentral:rRNA from 1 species